rnacentral:lncRNA from 1 species
AGAGAGCCUGGCUUCCCUAUGCAAUCAUUACGUUUCUCAGAGACUCAGUGCCACCACCGGUAAAAUGGGCAUGCCGAAGGGCUGUGGUCAGGACAAAAUGAAUCAGGAGGUGUGUGUUAAUGCCUGGGGCAGCGGCGGGCCCCUCACAAGGGCUGGAUGUGAGCGGCCGAAUCUGUCUUUAAUCCCCCUGCGGAAGCUGGAACGGGAAGCUGUGUUCCGGGCCAAGCUUUCUCUGCCCACUUGGCCGGCAUCUCCUUUCUCUGGUGUUUCUGUUGAAAUUUUACUGUUCAGAAGCAUUUCCACUGCCUGGCUAGUUAUUCAGCAGGACCCUGUUUGAUCCAUUCCCCAGUCCUGUCUCUUCUUCCUGCUGUCAUGGAGCUCACUCUGUUGUUAGGGGGCAGGGGUACAGGGAAUAUGAGGGUUCCCAGAGAGGCAAAAUGAAAAAACCCCUGCUGGCAUGUGACCAGCACCCAUUGGCUGUAACUUUGCUCCAGUUCACAUCUUUUUUUUUUUUUUUUUUUUUUAAAGAUGAGUCUUGCUCUGUUGCCCAGGCUGGAGUGCAGUGGCACGAUCUUGGCUCACUGCAACCUCUACCUUCUGGGUUCAGGCGAUUCUCCUGUCUCAGCCUCCUGAAUAGCUGGAAUUACAGGCGUGUACCACCAUGCCCAGCUAAUUUUUGUAUUUUUAGUAGAAAUGGGGUUUCACCACAUUGGCCAGGCUGGUCUCGAACUCCUGGCCUCAAGUGAUCUGCCC